AUCCAGCUGACGAGUCCCGAAUCGGACGAAACGCGCGUCAAGCUGAAU
rfam:Schistosoma rodhaini strain Burundi genome assembly, scaffold: SROB_scaffold0003844